GUAUAAGAGACAGCAGCAGCCGCGGUAAUACGUAGGGUGCAAGCGUUAAUCGGAAUUAUUGGGCGUAAAGCGAGUGCAGACGGUUACUUAAGCCAGAUGUGAAAUCCCCAAGCUUAACUUGGGACGUGCAUUUGAAACUGGGUGACUAGAGUGUGUCAGAGGGAGGUAGAAUUCCACAUGUAGCGGUGGAAUGCGUAGAGAUGUGGAGGAAUACCGAUGGCGAAGGCAGCCUCCUGGGAUAACACUGACGUUGAGGCUCGAAAGCGUGGGGAGCAAACAGGAUUAGAUACCCCUGUAGUCCCUGUCUCUUAUAA
rnacentral:rRNA from 1 species